UCUAUAAUUAGACUAGUUACAUUAACAUAAUAUCAGAUGGAUAAAGACACAAUCUAUAAUUAGACUAGUUACAUUAACAUAAUAUCAGAUGGAUAAAGACAUGACACAAUCUAUAAUUAGACUAGUUACAUUAACAUAAUAUCAGAUGGAUAAAGACACAAUCUAUAAUUAGACUAGUUACAUUAACAUAAUAUCAGAUGGAUAAAGACAAGACACAAUCUAUAAUUAGACUAGUUACAUUAACAUAAUAUCAGAUGGAUAAAGACACAAUCUAUAAUUAGACUAGUUACAUUAACAUAAUAUCAGAUGGAUAAAGACACAAUCUAUAAUUAGGCUAGUUACAUUAACAUAAUAUCAGAUGGAUAAAGACAUAAUCUAUAAUUAGACUAGUUACAUUAACAUAAUAUCAGAUGGAUAAAGACACAAUCUAUAAUUAGACUAGUUACAUUAACAUAAUAUCAGAUGGAUAAAGACAAGACACAAUCUAUAAUUAGACUAGUUACAUUAACAUAAUAUCAGAUGGAUAAAGACAAGACACAAUCUAUAAUUAGACUAGUUACAUUAACAUAAUAUCAGAUGGAUGAAGACAAGACACAAUCUAUAAUUGGGCUAGUUACAUUAACAGUAAACAAACACAGUAAAGAAAAAGUGAAUGGAGAUCCAGAUAACCAAAACAGCCCACAGCCUAUUACUGAGAUGCAGACAUGCACAGCUGUCUUGCCAAAUAAAUAUGCCUAUAGGCCCGCUUCAGACAUGGCGAGUACAGUUGUGGCCAAACGUUUUGAGAAUGACACAAAUAUUAAUUUUCAUAAAGUCUGCUGCCUCAGUUUGUAGGAUGGCAAUUUGCAUAUACUCCAGAAUGUUAUGAAGAGUGAUCAGAUGAAUUGCAAUUAAUUGCAAAGUCCCUAUUUGCCAUGCAAAUGAACUGAAUCACCCCCCAAAAACAUUUCCACUGCAUUUCAGCCCUGCCACAAAAGGAACAGCUGACAUCAUGUCAGUCAUUCUCUCAUUAACACAGGUGUGAGUGUUGACGAAGAUAAGGCUGGAGAUCACUCUGUCAUGCUGAUUGAGUUUGAAUAACAGACUGGAAGCUUCAAAAGGUGGGUGGUGCUUGGAAUCAUUGUUCUUCCUCUGUCAAACAUGGUUACCUGCAAGGAAACACGUGCCGUCAUCAUUGCUGUGCAAAAAAAGGGCUUCACAGGCAAGGAUACUACCACCAGUAAGAUUGCACCUAAAUCAACCAUUUAUUGGAUCAUCAAGAACAUCAAGGAGAGCGGUUCAAUUGUUGUGAAGAAGGCUUCAGGGCGCCCAAGAAAGUCCAGCAACCGCCAAAACCGUCUCCUAAAGUGUAUUCAGCUGCGGGAUCGGGACACCAGCAGUACAGAGCUUGCUCAGGAAUGGUAGCAGGCAGGUGUGAGUGCAUCUGCACGCACAGUGAGGCGAAGACUUUUGGAGGAUGGCCUGGUGUCAAGAAGGGCAGCAAAGAAGCCACUUCUCUCCAGGAAAAACAUCAGGGACAGACUGAUAUUCUGCUAAAGGUACAGGGAUUGGACUGCUGAGGACUGGGGUAAGGUCAUUUUCUCUGAUGAAUCCCCUUUCUGAUUGUUUGGAUCAUCUGGAAAAAAGCUUGUCCGGAGAAGACAAGGUGAGUGCUACCAUCAGUCCUGUGUCAUGCCAACAUUAAAGCAUCCUGAGACCAUUCAUGUGUGGGGUUGCUUCUCAGCCAAGGGAGUGGGCUCACUCACAAUUUUGCCUAAGAACACAGCCAUGAAUAAAGAAUGGUACCAAAACAUCCUCAGAGAGCAACCUCCCCCUUGUCAAGUGUCAAUGUGCAGCGGUUAGGACGGUGUCAGGCGCAGGACACAGAACUGAGUAAAAUACUUUACUCGAAGAGAAACAACAAAUAUUUCCACGCAGGGAAAAUACACCAGCUCACAGAAUUCUUAAACACUAAACAAAGAACAAGCACGCACAAAACAAUGUGGGAACUAGAGGGUUAAAUAGUGAAGAAAUUAUAACGUAAUGGGAACCAGGUGUGUACAAUCAAGACAAAACAAAUGGAAAAAGGAAACGUAGAUUGGUGGCAGCUAGAAAGCCGGUAACGACGACUGCCGAACGAACAAGGAGAGGCACUAACUUCGGCGGAAGUCGUGACACUCCCAACCAUCCAGGAACAGGUUGGUGACGAACAAUGCCUUUCCAGCAUGAUGGAGCACCUUGCCAUAAGGCAAAAGUGAUAACUAAGUGGCUCGGGGAACAAAACAUUGAUAUUCUGGGUCCAUGGCCAGGAAACUCCCCAGACCUUAAUCCCUUUGAGAAUUUGUGGUAAAUCCACAAGAGGCGUGUGGACAAACAAAACCCCACAAAUUCUGACAAACUCCAAGCAUUGAUUAUGCAAGAAUGGGCUGCCAAUAGUCAGGAUGUGACCCAGAAGUUAAUUGACAGCAUGCCAGGGCGGAUUGCAGAGGUCUUAAAAAAGAAGGGUCAACACUGCUAAUAUUGACUCUUUGCCUCAACUUCAUGUAAUUUGUCAAUAAAAGCCUUUGACACUUAUGAAAUGCUUGUAAUUAUACUUCAGUAUUCCAUAGUAACAUCUGGCACCACACACUUUUUUGGAUCAAAUUCGACCCAGGUAAUCAAUUAAGCAAUGCCAGCCUACCAUAAACACUUUUCCAAUACGUACAGUUUAAUUUACAACCAUGAAAACCAUAAUAGAAUGUAGUUCUAUGAUGAAACACACCGAUAUGUAGCUAUACCCAUGGGCGUCAUUUGGGUUCUUGCAUUGGAAUUAUAUUCAAUUCUGCAGUAAUUGAGUAUUACACUCUUUCUAUGAACCAGUUGCUAUUAAAUGAAAGUUUUUUAGACAUAAAUCCUAUGGCUAGGUUAGGAUUCUAGGCUAGUCUGGGCUGUCUCCUCUGUUCCAAGAUCAUCAGGAACAGUUGCAGGUGGAGGGGUUGUGGAGGCACUAUCCUGGAGGCGCUUGUGGAAGGGUGGGUAAGACUCUGCAUGCGGAGCUAUUUGGAGCUCGGAAGCAUCAUCUCUGCUGGGCUUGGUGGCGGCCUCGGUGGUUUGAUGCUGCUGCUCAUUGCUCUCCUUCUCCUUUUUGGCUUUGUUUGGAAACUUUGGCGAAACCCAUUUCUGAUAUCCACCGUGACAGUGGCGGAUUAUCUGGUUUGAGCUAGCUAAAUAAGCUAAACCUAAUGACACUAACGGUUUUUACAGCUUGCUAAGUAGCUAAACUCUGUAGUGGUGGGGCAUGAGGCAGAAUUGAGUGAAGCUUGCUUCAACGGUAAACUUGGC
ensembl:lncRNA